rnacentral:rRNA from 1 species
CAGCCGCCGCGGUAAUACGGAGGAUCCAAGCGUUAUCCGGAAUCAUUGGGUUUAAAGGGUCCGUAGGCGGUCUUGUAAGUCAGUGGUGAAAGCCCAUCGCUCAACGGUGGAACGGCCAUUGAUACUGCAGGACUUGAAUUAUUGGGAAGUAACUAGAAUAUGUAGUGUAGCGGUGAAAUGCUUAGAGAUUACAUGGAAUACCAAUUGCGAAGGCAGGUUACUACCAAUUGAUUGACGCUGAUGGACGAAAGCGUGGGUAGCGAACAGGAUUAGAUACCCGUGUAGUCCCUGUCUCUUAUAC